GGCGCACCACGGCCACGUCUUCAACGGAGAAAGAGUGGGAGGGAGGGCUGCUGCAACCCAAAUUGUUUUGUUUUUUUGCUGGGUUUGUGAUCUUUUUCUUCCUUGAGAGGUGUUUUCAAACUCGCGGGAAGUUUGGGUUUGGGUCCGUUGUUGCUUACAAUGCUUCACGCGGUGGCUUGGGAGUCUCUUCACCGUAGCUCUACUACCGCCUGCUGCCGUGCCUGGGGGAGCGAUGCGUCGUCAUCCAGGCCGGAGUUCUUUUCAGGGAAGAGUGAUUUAAGACUGAACAAGUUUGUACGAAUAAGAAUGCCAUCUAUAAACAAUGCAGCAACGAGAGGUUCCUCGGAGGCUUCAGCUGAUUCUCAAAGAGGAUAUACGAAUGCGUUCUGUGACCAGCCUUGUGCCUUGAGUUGCCCAGUGGAUAGAGGCACGAAUAUGCAACGAUGGGUGGAAGAAGCUGUGCAUGAUAUCGUAAAGAAUAUCCAAGAGGCGCCAUUUCUGCAGUAUGUUUUUGAUUCCAAGGGCAGACUUGGCACAUCACAGCGCCAAAAGAUUUCGCAGGAUGUUUUCGACAACGCUGAAUACUGGCCUCCCAUUCUAGAGUCCUUGUCCAAGGCUGCCCCGGAUGGGGUUAUUCUUGUUCAAAAGCUGGAACCCGGGUGCUCCUCCACUUCCUGUCUUGCAGAGGCGUUUCAGUGGGCCGAUGAUGAAGAGAUGGUUUGCCCUCUCUUACCAUAUCAGCGUGCCGCAGAGACCAAUGUGUGGGGAGUACUAGUACAAGCGAGAGCCGUUCAUGCAAAUGCUUGUUAUCUCUUGAAGACUACGAGAGUACCCUCAUCCGCCGGGAUCUGCACCAGGGCGACGUGUCUCCAUGUAUCCACGAGACCUUGAGAGUGCGUCCUCUCUGCAAUUUGUAUUUCUAGAUUCCAGCAUACACUCCAGCCAAAUUGGCGUCCGAAUUAUUGGGCAGUGCCUUCGACCCGAUGUACUAUAUUUGAGAAUUUGUGAUGCAAAGUUUCUACUACCUGCAUUCGUGGUGAUGGCUUGGAAGGCAAGAUUUAGUAAUGCGUUCUCUUGCUGCUGGAUGACUCUAGGCAGUCUUGGCCCGUGAAAUUGCACUGGCAGAAUGGCAUCAUGUUUCGAGGAUGCAUUACACUCGAUGAAUGAAGACCACAGUGGUUGCUAUUCAUUCCAUGUAUUGUUCUAGUUCUGUAUCUUGUUUACAUGACCGUAACCAGACGCUGGCAGGGUUGCUAGCAACUCUGUCGCCCAAGAUGAGCUCAUCAGAGGCGCCUCGUUUAUGCUUAACGGAAGCUAUCCUCAACAUUCUCAAGCAAGUCCAUGGCAACUGAUACUCAGCGCUGCAGCACGUUUACUGAAAUUCCCACAAACGACGUCUGAGCGUAUGCAGGAAGUAGAGACCUGUUGUGGAUCCGAGGAAUUUCUAACCAGAUUACGUCUUGGAAACGACGUGUAAUGUUCAAGUGGUACAUGCCUUCGAUCACUGCAUUCACCCUUAAGAUGAUGAUCAAGGACGAGAUUACUGACUCCAGGACAAACCUCAUGCUGUAGCUCAUGACUAAGAUCCUCAAUUCAGACCCUCGCUCCAGCAGUUUGAUUUCUACAUAGUCGCUGAUUGUUGGAAUCACUGAGAGAAACACACUAUCUCCGUCCCUUUGUGACAGUUGCUCGUCUUCAAAAAAAUCAAACAUAUACAUGAAAGAAAAUGAUAUUCGAGAACUUAAACAACAAAGCAGACUACCUGUUAGAUUUCGCCAUAGCCCAACUCUCAAAUUCAACGCCCAUGGGGCUUGAGAUUGUGAGUGAGGGACUUCAUUAGCAAAUUAACACCGUAGCAACCAGAAAACUCUUCUGCAGUUGUGGCUGUUCCGAAGGAAUCCCAUUUUCUUAGUCUUAUCUCUCACAAAUGCAUGAAUUCUACAAAAACAUAUA